rnacentral:rRNA from 1 species
AUUGAACGCUGGCGGCGUGCCUAACACAUGCAAGUCGAGCGGUAACAGGUGUAGCAAUACAUGCUGACGAGCGGCGGACGGGUGAGUAACGCUUGGGAAUCUGCCUAUUAGUGGGGGACAACCCGGGGAAACGUCGGGCUAAUACCGCAUACGCACUACGGUGGAAAGCCGGGGACCGCAAGGCCUGGCGCUAACAGAUGAGCCCAAGUCGGAUUAGCUAGUUGGUAGGGUAACGGCCUACCAAGGCGACGAUCCGUAACUGGUCUGAGAGGACGACCAGUCACACCGGAACUGAGACACGGUCCGGACUCCUACGGGAGGCAGCAGUGGGGAAUAUUGGACAAUGGGCGAAAGCCUGACGCAGCGACGCCGCGUGAGGGAUGACGGCCU